rnacentral:rRNA from 1 species
UACGUAGGGUGCAAGCGUUAAUCGGAAUUACUGGGCGUAAAGCGUGCGCAGGCGGUUGUGCAAGACAGAUGUGAAAUCCCCGGGCUCAACCUGGGAAUUGCAUUUGUGACUGCACGGCUAGAGUGUGUCAGAGGGGGGUAGAAUUCCACGUGUAGCAGUGAAAUGCGUAGAGAUGUGGAGGAAUACCGAUGGCGAAGGCAGCCCCCCUGGGAUAACACUGACGCUCAUGCACGAAAGCGUGGGGGAGCAAACAGG